UUUUUUUUUUUUCUCUAGUAUCCUGACCACAUUUUAAGGGGUGGAAGCCACAAGGGCAGCAUCUCUACCUGGAGACUGCUUCCUUGGCAGUGUGGGCUGAGUGUUCAUCCUUGGAAUGGGGUGACUUAUUCUUUUUUUUAUUUCAGGGCUGUGAUAUCCCCUUCUGGGGGUAUCCUGACUACAUUUAAGGCCUGGCAGCCAUAGGUGCAGCAUCCUGGCGGCAGCUUCCCUGGGAGAGUGGGCUUGAUGGGGUUUAGGGAUUGCUGGAGUUUGUCUCAUCAGGGGUGUAAGCACGCUGAGAUCUACUGAGCAGGCGGCUCACCUUUCUCCAUGGGGUCUAUUCUCCCAGCCUGCUGCACUACACGGCUGAUGAUAGAGUGAGGUGCUUCGGCCAGGACCUGAAGAACACUCCCAGAACGUAGUGGCCAUCUGCUUCAUCCUCACUGAGCAUAAUAUGGUCUGCACCACUCGAGCUUAGUGAUAACA